GGGAAAACCCCCCCACUCUAUGACCGGUGCAAGUUUUGCGCGUAACUUCGUUAAUACUGGAGGGAUUUUCAAAAUUUCAACUUCCCCGAACACGUCAGGGUGUCCCAAAAAAACCCACCAGGCCAAUAACGCAAAAACGUGGCAGCUGCAAGCAAUUUUCUGCCCCAAAACCGACCCCCCUAUCAGUGCUGCACGCUCCAGCCGAGAUCGAUCCAUGCGAGCCGCCCGACCACUCCAGACUAAACAACAUCGAUAAAAUAUCGUCCAGUCGGGCGCACAGCGUUCCGAACAAUCGGCAACCUUUGACGGCACCAAUCGCAUGAUUGGCUUGUUGCCGCUGCUGCUGCAUCAACAUAAUUCAUCGGGAAACAGUCACGCAGUGUUGCCACAUUGGGCCGAUCGGCCUAUUUGUUGCACGCCCCCUGUAAGGAGCGCUGGCCGCCACGCGGCCCGUUCCAGCCACGCGAUUGGCUUAAACAGCCGUCGGCAUGGCAACGGGUGAGUUUACCGGGGCCGAUCAAUAAGAUUGAUGGUUUCGGCGAUGGGGUUUUCUCUAUUUUUAUAACAGUUUUCCAUAUUGACCGGUGGACACUUCAGUGGAUGGAAGUGACUAAUGAAAGGCGAGCAUUUCGAGCGAAAAAACACUGCCAGCCUGAUAUUCGAUGAGAUAUUGAAAGCGGCAUCGUUAUUAUAGAAAUCAUUUUUCA